rnacentral:rRNA from 1 species
UACAGAUGCCUCGAGCGUUAGGCGGAAUCACUGGGCUUAAAGCGUGUGUAGGUGGAUGCCUAAGUACCUUGUGAAAUCCCACGGCUUAACCGUGGAACUGCUGGGUAUACUGGGCGUCUUGAGCCACUCAGGGGCUACCGGAACAAGCGGUGGAGCGGUGAAAUGCGCAGAUAUCAGGAGGAACACCGGUGGCGAAGGCGGUUCUCUGGGCAUUACCUGACGCUGAGGAGCGAAAGUGUGGGGAGCGAACAGG